rnacentral:rRNA from 1 species
GAGGGGUGCAAGCGUUAUUCGGAAUAACUGGGCGUAAAGGGUGCGUAGACGGCGCAUUAAGUCCGUUGUUAAAUCUUCCGGCCUAACCGGAGGGCUGCAAUGGAUACUGGUGUGCUAGAGGAUGGAAGAGAGAAGUGGAAUUCCCGGAGUAGCGGUAAAAUGCGUGGAUCUCGGGAGGAACACCAAUGGCGAAAGCAGCUUCUUGGUCCAUUCCUGACGUCGAGGCACGAAAGCGUGGGGAGCAAACAGGAUUAGAUACCCUGGUAGUCCACGCUGUAAACGAUAACCACUAGACGUCAGUCCCGGCCCUAGCUGGAUUGGUGUCGAAGCUAACGCGUUAAGUGGUUCGCCUGGGGGACUUCGGUCGCAAGACUA